rnacentral:rRNA from 1 species
AACGAACGCUGGCGGCAUGCCUAACACAUGCAAGUCGAACGAGACCUUCGGGUCUAGUGGCGCACGGGUGCGUAACACGUGGGAAUUUGCCUCGGGGUAUGGAAUAACUCAGGGAAACUUGAGCUAAUACCAUAUAAUGUCUUCGGACCAAAGAUUUAUCGCCCUGAGAUAAGCCCGCGUAGGAUUAGCUAGUUGGUGGGGUAAAGGCUCACCAAGGCGACGAUCCUUAGCUGGUCUGAGAGGAUGAUCAGCCACACUGGGACUGAGACACGGCCCAGACUCCUACGGGAGGCAGCAGUGGGGAAUAUUGGACAAUAGGGCGGAAAGCCUGAUCCAGCAAUGCCGCGUGAGUGAUGAA